AAGAAGAGGCAGAGCAAGUGAUGGAGAAGUGCGGUUUUCGGUUGAAAGGGAGUGAAAGUGUAGCGUUUAAGGAAUUAGAAUGUGGAAACAAAGUAAAAGAAAAGAACAAAUUGAGGUUGCAACUUGUACCUGAAAGGAGCUUUUGAAGAGUAGCACAAGCUUCCUCCACGCUCACUAGGACAGUGGCGAGUUGUAGCAGAAACAGAGUGGCGAUCCAGACACCAACGGCGGCACACAGCUCAACGGCGAUGGCGAACCCAGCCCCACCAAUGACGGCUUGGCAGCAACAGAGGCAACCUCCUCCUCCCUCAUCGUGUUUCUCUCUCUGCGCGAACCCUUUCUCUCUCUUCGAGCUCCUCAGUGGCGGCAGUGAUGGGAGGUGCGACGUCGACGACGAGCUCGACGGUCAGGACCUUCAGCGGCGGUGAUGGAGUCUUCGACGAUGGUGGCUACUUCUCCUCUCUCGCGCGCACUCUUCUCCGUCUCCACACCCUCCGGUUCACGCGACGAUGGCGGCUGCUCCACGGAACGGCGGCGACAGGCGGGCAGGG